GUUGAAGAACGCAGCGAAAUGCGAUAAGUAAUGUGAAUUGCAGAAUUCAGUGAAUCAUCGAAUCUUUGAACGCACAUUGCGCCCGCCAGUAUUCUGGCGGGCAUGCCUGUUCGAGCGUCAUUUCAACCAUCAAGCCCCCGGCUUGUGUUGGGGACCUGCGGCUGCCGCAGGCCCUGAAAACCAGUGGCGGGCUCGCUAGUCACUCCGAGCGUAGUAAUACAUCUCGCUCAGGGCGUGCUGCGGGUUCCGGCCGUUAAAAAGCCUUAUUUACCCAAGGUUGACCUCGGAUCAGGUAGGAAGACCCGCUGAACUUAAGCAUAUCAAUAAGCGGAGGA
rnacentral:misc_RNA from 1 species